rnacentral:rRNA from 2 species
GGGGAAUAUUGCGCAAUGGGGGAAACCCUGACGCAGCAAUACCGCGUGAGUGAAGAAGGUUUUCGGAUCGUAAAGCUCUGUUAUUGGGGAAGAAAAAAAGACGGUACCCAAGAAGAAAGUCCCGGCUAACUACGUGCCAGCAGCCGCGGUAAUACGUAGGGGACAAGCGUUGUCCGGAUUUACUGGGCGUAAAGGGAGCGUAGGUGGUUCGGCAAGUCAGAUGUGAAAGCCCGGGGCUCAACCCCGGGACUGCAUUUGAAACUGUCGGGCUAGAGUGCAGGAGAGGUAAGUGGAAUUCCUAGUGUAGCGGUGAAAUGCGUAGAUAUUAGGAGGAACACCAGUGGCGAAGGCGGCUUACUGGACUGUAACUGACACUGAGGCUCGAAAGCGUGGGGAGCAAACA